GUAAAUAUUUCAUACUUUUUACUGAUAACUUGUUCGUCAUUUGGUGUGGAUGACUCUAAACAUGCUGAAAGUUCUCUCAACUUCACAGUUUACAAUGGGGGUAUUUCUGUAAAUUGAAUCUUUAACACAGGCUUGGCCUCGUAACUCAUUGUAAGCUGGAUUUUCUGAUAGGAAAUUGGUCAAUUUAGAUUGGAAUGGCUCUAGCUUAAUAUAAUUUCGUAGCAGUUCAACGAUGGUAAUGCUGACAAGUAAGGGUAAACGUCCUUCUAAAGCUGUAAUGGCCCCAGAAAUUUGAUUGAGAUUAUUAUGAAUAGUGGUCAACUCUUUAAAUGUAUAUUCGUCAGUAAUAAUCUCCUUUGCUUUAAUCAUAGAAGCUAUUUUUUCAUGGAGGCUACUUAAAUAUUCCCUGAUUACAAUGAAGUGCUAAAAAUAGUAAGUUGCUGUUUUUAACCAAGUUCCCUAGCGUGUAAUGACUGUAGCUGGGGGGUAAGGCAAUUUGGUAAGAAGCAGCGAAUCUACGUUUUCUUAUUCCAGCGUUCAAAAAUAUUUUGUAGAUUGCGGAUAUUAAUUCAUUUGUUCUAGGGAACUCUUUACGAGCAAGUGCAACAACGUUAUGGAUCCCAUGAGCCACGCAGAUAAUAUGUUUCAACUGAGGGUAGUAUCUUUCUAGGUCUUCGCCAGCUCUUUCCAAUAAGAAGCUCCAUCCGUAAUAAACACCUUCAGCACGUUUAAUGUCUAUCACGUUGAUGAGAUAUGGACGACUCAAGAAAUAACUGUCCAAAGGACCAAUCAAUAAAACAGUGAUUGAUUGCUCCUGAUUAUCUUUUGUCUCAUCGACAAAAAAACUCCUAAAAAAAAUACACUCAAACAUCAUCUCAAAAUAAAGGCAUCCUCUUUGCUCAUCUACACUUGUACAUAAAUGAACACAAUAUAUAAACUCUAGCUUUUGCUGGAAUUACUUAUACUGGGAAGCAGUAAUACAUCCAACAACAACAUGAAGACAAAUAUUCAAAUUUACAUUCUCUCUGCCUUAUUCCUUGGAGUAUUUGGAGGAUUUCUUAGAAAAUGUAUGUAAAAACACCAUGACCAAUUGUACAAGGAAUGAAGUUAGAUGUAUGGAACUGGAUUAUUACUUUCAAUGUUCAAAAACAUGUGGAUGUACAGAUUACAUUCGUUUUGAUGGAAUUUUUCUAGUUUUUAAGGAGAGAACAUCUAAGUUUAUAAUGUAACCACGCGUAUUUGUGCUUAGGAAUGAAGAAAAAUAAAGCUGAGGAUUCGUAAAGGAGUUAUAAG
rnacentral:lncRNA from 1 species